CAUGCAGUCGAACGAUGAAGCCCAGCUUGCUGGGUGGAUUAGUGGCGAACGGGUGAGUAACACGUGAGCAACCUGCCCCUGACUCUGGGAUAAGCGCUGGAAACGGCGUCUAAUACUGGAUAUGUCCCGUCACCGCAUGGUGUGCGGGUGGAAAGAUUUUUCGGUUGGGGAUGGGCUCGCGGCCUAUCAGCUUGUUGGUGAGGUAAUGGCUCACCAAGGCGUCGACGGGUAGCCGGCCUGAGAGGGUGACCGGCCACACUGGGACUGAGACACGGCCCAGACUCCUACGGGAGGCAGCAGUGGGGAAUAUUGCACAAUGGGCGGAAGCCUGAUGCAGCAACGCCGCGUGAGGGAUGACGGCCUUCGGGUUGUAAACCUCUUUUAGCAGGGAAGAAGCGAGAGUGACGGUACCUGCAGAAAAAGCACCGGCUAACUACGUGCCAGCAGCCGCGGUAAUACGUAGGGUGCAAGCGUUAUCCGGAAUUAUUGGGCGUAAAGAGCUCGUAGGCGGUCUGUCGCGUCUGCUGUGAAAUCCCGAGGCUCAACCUCGGGCUUGCAGUGGGUACGGGCAGACUAGAGUGCGGUAGGGGAGAUUGGAAUUCCUGGUGUAGCGGUGGAAUGCGCAGAUAUCAGGAGGAACACCGAUGGCGAAGGCAGAUCUCUGGGCCGUAACUGACGCUG
rnacentral:rRNA from 1 species